GAUAGCCUGCCUUCAUUUUUCUGUAAGAUUUGAUCAUUAAUAAUUAUACUAAGCUAUGUGGAAUUGUUUUAAGAAAUUCAUACCAAGGAUCAUUUUGCUAUUUCAUUUUUAUUGAAGUAUCAAAAAAAUAUCUAAAUGAAUUGAUCAUUUUUGGCCUUACUGCUAUAGCGGUCUUGAAGUUGCGUCACAAAUCACCUAGCAACCGCACCAGGCACCAUGUUGGAAGACGAGUUAGUCUGUUGGAUGGCUGGCUAUUUUUUGCUACCACAGGAAACUUCGGGAAGAUUGCCUAUUAUUUAGUUUUUCAUAAGACCCAGAAAAUGGAGGCAGUGGGAGAACCUAUUAAAAUAGAGAGCCGUCAAACCCUGUCUGCAGAUGAAGUCCCAAGAGAAUAAGGGUACAUCCUUGUAUACCAUGAAUUAUGCUGUAUGUGUACCUACGUUAGCACAUUUUGUGAACAGAAAUACAGUUUAAAAGUCACACAAUGUAUAAACGUAUUACAACUGGAGCUGGCCAACCCUGCUGGGUGUGCCGGCUACUGUUACAGCUCAGCACUAACACACCUGAUUCAAUGUAUCAAACCUAAUUAGUUAAUAAUAGAGUGUGCUAUUGCUGGGCUGGAACAGAAGUCUGCUCCCCUGUGGAUCAGUGGAGAGAGGCUGGUCACCUCUGGUAUUGACUUUUUGUUGUUCACCUAAAAUAAUGAUGCUUUAGUAAUAGCCUACUUGUUAAUAAAGUGUUAGCUUACUUGUACACUUUGAAA